AAUGGCGAUCAAAGAUCGUCAGCAUAUUUUGGAGAUAGUCUCAUGGCGUUAUCCGUAGAAAAGAAAGCAGAAAUCGUAGCUAAGUUUGCUCAGGGCGA
rnacentral:ncRNA from 1 species